rnacentral:lncRNA from 1 species
CGCCAUUCUCCUGCCACAGGCUCCUGAGUAACCCCUUUUGCUUGGUUCUCAUUCUCUCUCUUGGCUGCCACCAUGCAAGACCUGCCUUUCGCCUUCUGCCAUGAUUGGGAGGCCUCCCCAGCCACAUGGAACUGAUCUUGCUCUGUCGCCCAGGCUACAGUGCAGUGGUGCAAUCACAGCCCACUGCAGCCUCGACCUCCGGAGCUCAAUUGAUCCUCCCACCUCAGCCUCCUGAGUAGCUGCAUCUACAGAUGUGAGCCACCAAAAAAAAAAAAAAAAUUAUUUUUGACACAGGAUCUAGCACUGUUGCCCAGGCUGAAGUGCAUCUGGGCUCACUGCAAGCUUCUCCUGAGCUCAAACCACCCUCUCACCUUAGCCUCCCAAGUAGCUGGGACUAGAGCCUCACUCCACCACGCCCGGCCUUGUUUUUCCUUUGUGAACAUCGUUCUACAAUGCUGUGGGUACAUCGCUUUUUCAAUAUGAAGUUUUCUUUGGAAGUUUAUAAAUCCAGUUUGGGCCUUGGAGGAAAGCAGUCAGUGAUAGAAAUUUUGUGACUCUGAGUGAGUUUGGUGGAGCUUCGAGUUGUAGAUUGUUUCCCAGGGACCGCUGCAGACACAAAGCCCUGACUGCAGGAUCCCCAGUGAUAAAAGUGAUCAAAGGCGAGUGUGAUCAGACGUGCGCUGCAACGCGAGUUGAGGUUUCAUCGAGCCUCAUUCAGUGGCUCCUGGGGCAGUUGUGUGGAUGAAGAGGGCCAUGUCUGUGAAGUGCUCAGGAUGGAGCUGGUGGUGGGGCGGCCAUGCCGGCCACAUGGCUCACACCCCUCACCCGUCAACUCGGUGCCCGGCAUUUUCCUUAGCUCCUCUGUGGAUUAAUUCUCAUUCUGAAGACGGGAGGCUGAGGUUUCAUCUCAGCUCUGUUCCUGGCUCAUUGCUGCGCUUCUCUGUACCCGUCCCCUCCCCUGACUAGGGGAAUGAGAACCUUGCCUAUGGAAACACUUAGGGGAUGGUGGCCCGUGACUCCAUGCCAGCCCCUCCCAAGCCCAGCCACCAGCUGAGGUCCUGACCACCUUGUGGACCACCCGGUCCUCCAGCCCUGCGCCCACCCCCGCGUCCUCCCUCCUGCUCUUUCGUAGUUCCCUUGUGUUUCUCUGUGCCAGUAGCUGAGCCCCCGUGCCCACCCACUGCAACUGCACCUUCCCUCCCUCCAGGCUUCCCCACUGCGUUGCUC